rnacentral:rRNA from 1 species
UACGGAGGGUGCAAGCGUUAAUCGGAGUUACUGGGCGUAAAGCGUGCGCAGGCGGUUUGUUAAGUCCGCUGUGAAAUCCCCGAGCUCAACUUGGGAAUUGCAGUGGAUACUGGCAAGCUGGAGUAUGGUAGAGGAAGGUGGAAUUCCCGGUGUAGCGGUGAAAUGCGCAGAUAUCGGGAGGAACACCGGUGGCGAAGGCGGUUCUCUGGGCCUUACCUGACGCUGAGGAGCGAAAGCGUGGGGAGCGAACAGG